rnacentral:rRNA from 1 species
AUGCAAAAAACUGCUUUAGAGAAGACCAGGCUUGCGGAUGAGAAGCUGGCUUCAGUGACUAAGCUUGAAGAAGAAAACACCAAUCUGAAAGCUGCUCUUGAUGCUGCCAACCAGGAGGUCAGUCGACUGAAAAGCGAUAAGACCACCCUGAAUGACAAGGCCAGUGAGUUGAAGAGAAAGAAGAAUGAUCUAGAGGCUUAUCUGGGUGGACUCGCCAAGAAGUUGUUCCUCAUGCUUGAAGAAUUUUGUCAGAACUUUGAAGAGGAGACUGGUCAACUGGAAGUAAACCUGGACCCCAUCAACUCUCCUAUGAAAGAUGAAGUCGCCAUGAACGUGCUCCGACUUGAAUCUCGUGUUGCUGUCAUCAUCGAUUAUCUCGCAAGGCUGAAGGUCGCAACUUCCCGCAUCGACACAACACUCUGGCCAAGAGAGACACUCCAGAACGACCUCGAGUCUCUGAUGACUCGACUGAACAAGGUCCCAAGUCGAGUGCAGGAGUGGAAGAAGUCUUCGGCCAGGUGCGGCGCGGAUGUUGCUCUGUCUCUGGUCCGCGUUCACUGCAAGGGUGCACAAGAGGACAAGCUGGUGGCUCUUAGGGUGGCCAACACCAAGAAGCACGAUUUCAGAUCUUUCAUGGAGACCUUCAUUGCCGCUGCCACUCGGAUUGCAGAUGGAAUUGAUCUGGACGAGUUUGUGGCACCUUCCAGCCCUCCACAGGAGGGGUAA